rnacentral:rRNA from 1 species
CAUAAGAUUGUAGUAUCGCAUGAUAUAGCAAUUAAAGGAAGCAAUCCGCUAUAAGAUGGACCCGCCGUCGCAUUAGCUAGUUGGUGAGGUGAUGGCUCACCAAGGCGACGAUGCGUAGCCGACCUGAGAGGGUGAUCGGCCACAUUGGGACUGAGACACGGCCCAGACUCCUACGGGAGGCAGCAUG